rnacentral:rRNA from 1 species
UACAGAGACUACAAGCGUUAUUCGGAUUCACUGGGCGUAAAGGGUGCGCAGGCGGUUGGGUGUGUCAGAUGUGAAAUCCCGAGGCUCAACCUCGGAACUGCGUCUGAAACUACUCGACUAGAGUACUGGAGAGGGUAACGGAAUUCACGGUGUAGCAGUGAAAUGCGUAGAUAUCGUGAGGAACACCAGAGGCGAAGGCGGUUACCUGGACAGUUACUGACGCUCAGGCACGAAAGCAUGGGGAGCAAAGGG